rnacentral:rRNA from 1 species
AACGAACGCUGGCGGCAUGCCUAACACAUGCAAGUCGAACGAGACCUUCGGGUCUAGUGGCGCACGGGUGCGUAACGCGUGGGAACCUGCCCUUAGGUUCGGAAUAACUCCCCGAAAGGGGUGCUAAUACCGGAUAAUGUCUUCGGACCAAAGAUUUAUCGCCUUUGGAUGGGCCCGCGUUGGAUUAGCUAGUUGGUAGGGUAAAAGCCUACCAAGGCGACGAUCCAUUGCUGGUCUGAGAGGAUGAUCAGCCACACUGGGACUGAGACACGGCCCAGACUCCUACGGGAGGCAGCAGUGGGGAAUAUUGGGCAAUGGGCGAAAGCCUGAUCCAGCAAUGCCGCGUGAGUGAUGAAGGCCUUAGGGUUGUAAAGCUCUUUUACCCGGGAUGAUAAUGACAGUACCGGGAGAAUAAGCUCCGGCUAACUCCGUG